rnacentral:lncRNA from 1 species
AGGGGUUACGGUGAGUUCUUCCAGGCAAAGAGGAUUUUGUCUGGAAGUCCUCUUUGAGCAAAGACAUGGAGUCCACAUGAGCAAAGACAUGGAGGAGAAAAACGGCAUGGCACGAAGGGAACUGCAGGAGGGAAAAGCAAAGAGAAGAUGCGAUGAAGCCACAGAGCAGGAAGAGGCCUCGGUUGCUGUCCUGACCAGUCCUCUCACUUCACCAUCAAGGCCAUGAAACCCAGAGAAGGGAUGUGACUUGAGAUCCAGCCAGACCCAGAUCCAGAGUUGGGAGGGCAGGGGUGCUGCAAUAUGAUCACAGAAUCGACACUCGACCCCUCCCAGCGACCUGGCAAAGUGGGCACUAACUCCAUUCUGCAGAGGUGGAAACUGAGGCCAGUGUGGGGAAUGGAAAUUGACUGGGCUAAGCUUAGAAGCCUGAACUCUGACCCCAAAGCUCUCUCUUGUACCUUUGACCCCCUUGUCUUGUCCUGCAGCUCUUAAGGUUACAGUGAGC